AGUNACGCUGGCGGCGGUGCUUAACACAUGCAAGUCGAACGAGAACGGGUUAUAGCUUGCUAUAAUUGUCAGCUAAGUGGCGCACGGGUGAGUAAUGUAUAGGUAAUAUGCCUCUUACUAAGGGAUAACAAAUGGAAACGUUUGCUAAUACCUUAUACUCCUUAUUAACAGAAGUUAAUAAGGGAAAGAUUUAUCGGCAAAGGAUCGGCCCGCGUUGGAUUAGGUAGUUGGUGGGGUAAUGGCCUACCAAGCCGACGAUCCAUAGCUGGUUUGAGAGGAUGAUCAGCCACACUGGGACUGAGACACGGCCCAGACUCCUACGGGAGGCAGCAGUGGGGAAUCUUAGACAAUGGGGGAAACCCUGAUCUAGCCAUGCCGCGUGAUCGAUGAAGGCCUUAGGGUUGUAAAGAUCUUUCAGAUGGGAAGAUAAUGACGGUACCAUCAGAAGAAGCCCCGGCUAACUCCGUG
rnacentral:rRNA from 1 species